rnacentral:rRNA from 1 species
AAUAGAUACCCGGGUAGUCCAUGCCGUAAACGUUGGGAACUAGAUGUGGGGACCAUUCCACGGUCUCCGUGUCGCAGCUAACGCAUUAAGUUCCCCGCCUGGGGAGUACGGCCGCAAGGCUAAAACUCAAAGGAAUUGACGGGGGCCCGCACAAGCGGCGGAGCAUGCGGAUUAAUUCGAUGCAACGCGAAGAACCUUACCAAGGCUUGACAUAUACCGGAAACGUCUGGAAACAGUCGCCCCGCAAGGUCGGUAUACAGGUGGUGCAUGGUUGUCGUCAGCUCGUGUCGUGAGAUGUUGGGUUAAGUCCCGCAACGAGCGCAACCCUCGUUCUAUGUUGCCAGCACGUGAUGGUGGGGACUCAUAGGAGACUGCCGGGGUCAACUCGGAGGAAGGUGGGGAUGAGGUCAAAUCAUCAUGCCCCUUAUGUCUUGGGCUUCACGCAUGCUACAAUGGCCGGUACAAAGGGCAGCAAUACCGUGAGGUGGAGCGAAUCCCAAAAAGCCGGUCUCAGUUCGGAUUGAGGUCUGCAACUCGACCC